UUAGCUACUAAUAAUACGCAUAUGACACAAGGAGAAGAAGCCAAGAGAUAAAGAAAAUAGCAUACAAACAAGUGCACACACACAUAUACACGCACACACACAUAUACACACACACAAACAUAGAGAAAACAAAUAACAUUAUGCAAAGCUUCUACAGUCCUCAUUUCUAUAAUUGGCGUAGGGACUUUAACUAAUACCUUUGGCUUCCUUCUUCCAGUGACCGUUAGUUAUUACCUCUACCAUCAGCCAGAACCUCAAUUAACCAGGGUUUGAAUGACCCAAAUCUUCACUGCCACAGAGCCCAAGUCCUCAACUGUUCCAUCCUUACACUUUUGAAGACCCAUGGGAAUAGUUGCUACUUGGUACUGAUACGGCCUACCCCCAAAUUACAGGAAUGGUCUUUUGUUUUUCAAGGUACACCACGGAGACACUGCGGGUCCGGUUCCAGACCACCACAAUAAAGCAAAUACCACAAUAAAAGUGAAUCAUGUGAAUAUUCUGGUUUCCCAGCACAUAUAAAGGUUAUUUUUGUACUCUACUAGAAUCCAUUAAGUAUG